rnacentral:rRNA from 1 species
CAGCAGCCACGGUAAUACAGAGGGUGCAAGCGUUAAUCGGAUUUACUGGGCGUAAAGGGCGCGUAGGUGGUUAUUUAAGUGAGAUGUGAAAGCCCCGGGCUUAACCUGGGAACUGCAUCUUAUACUGGGUAACUGGAGUGCAGUAGAGGGUAGUGGAAUUUCCGGUGUAGCGGUGAAAUGCGUAGAUAUGCGGAGGAACACCGAUGGCGAAGGCAAUCCCCUGGGCCUGUACUGACGCUCAUGCACGAAAGCGUGGGGAGCAAACAGGAUUAGAUACCCCAGUAGUCCCUGUCUCUUAUAC